GCAGUCCUUACAACAACCAAUAAGGCUGGUGCUUCUUGUAGUACCAUUUUAUAGGUGAUGAAACUGAGGCUUACAGAGAGCAUGUGGCUGGCCUGAGCCUGCACCGCUGGGGAGUGGCUGAGCCAGGAUUUGAAAUCCCAAGAUGAACUUUCCAUCACCUGUUCACUAAGGUUUUGAAAGCCACCAAUGUUGAGUCUACGGCCACACCACCCUGAACACACCCGAUCUCAUCCGAAAACCACCAAUCUUGAGAUCUUAGAUGGGAGUAUAACAACUCAUCUUAUCUUGCAAGUCAUUUAAAACACAGACUUCAUAAGCUCACAGAGGUCCUCAAACUCCCCUGAGUCCUCAUGCUGCAAAGCCUCACGCAUUCUCCUGAACAGGAGGUGGCAAGAAGAUGUUAAAGACUUUUAAAAAUUCAACCAUAUCACAUAAAUUAGUUUAUCAAGUUGCUGCUGCUAUUGGCUCAAGAUCAGUGCUAUAGAAACUAGCAAGUGCUUUAAAAAAAUUGAUGAAAA